UACGUAGGGUGCAAGCGUUAUCCGGAAUUAUUGGGCGUAAAGAGCUCGUAGGCGGUUUGUCGCGUCUGCUGUGAAAACCGGAGGCUCAACCUCCGGCCUGCAGUGGGUACGGGCAAACUAGAGUGCGGUAGGGGAGAUUGGAAUUCCUGGUGUAGCGGUAGAAUGCGCAGAUAUCAGGAGGAACACCGAUGGCGAAGGCAGAUCUCUGGGCCGUAACUGACGCUGAGGCGCGAAAGCGUGGGGAGCAAACAGG
rnacentral:rRNA from 1 species